GAAUUAACUUCUUUUAAGUUUAAGUUCGCUAUUUGUGUGACGCUUUAAGUUAUGACUUACGUAAGUAACGUAGUGCAGUGUUUCCUGCGUGUAUGAGCUUUGCGUAACUGCCUAUUCACUCUCACUCCAGCAGAGCAGUCAGAUCGCAUGCUCUCACUAAAGUGCAACGUUUAUGUGCAAGAGAAAGUUGAUGACAAAAAACUACCUCAAGUACACUACUAUGUGUAUAUGGUCACCCUUGUGCAAUAAAUGACUAAAUUCUGUCUGAUGACUCCAACUCCUUGACCAGAGUUCUACAGCGGUCAAUAACAUAUACACCAGCUUUCAGUGGGGCAAUCCCCAACAACGGGCCUAUAGACUGAACACGUAAUACACAUGCACAUUAUGUCACUGUUUUCACAAAUUCACAUUUUUGUAGUUUACACAGACGAUAACAGUAUUGUUUUCAAAAACUUGCACUUUGAAACACAGUUUCAAAAGUUUGCAUUUUUGUUAAAACAACCCAAUUGCUGGGAUUGUCCAUUUUCAACCCAACUUGGGUUGUUUUUAACCCGGCAUUUUUUAGAGUGUAGUGACAGGCUUAAUAUACAGUGGCAAAUUAUUCCAGAGCUGUGGAGCAGUUACUGAGAAAGCUCUGCCAACUGUCAAGUUGAGGCAUUACCUGGGAACAGUCAACUGUAACUGUAACUUUUUGGAUGAUCAUAGUAUAUAUAUAUAUAUAUAUAUAUAUAUAAGUGUGAUGAUAGGAGUGAAGGUCAUAGAUAUAUUGAGGAGUCAAGCCAUGUAGGCCUUUGUAAGCAAAGUAAAAUUUUGAACUGGAUUCGAAAUUGGACUUGUUGGGGCACACAGUUUAACACCAUAAAGAGAGACAAUGAAGAUCAGAAGUCAAAUUUAAAAUUUGAUUACAAACAAACAAAGUUUACUGUCAUUUACAUGACAGCUGCGUUUUGGGGCCUGAAAAUGCAAACUUUUGAAACUGUGUGUUUUCGCAGAUCCUUGUGAACGGUGAUUAUUUUGACAAAGUUGCUGUCUGUACAUCCAUUUUUAGAUCGUUGUUGUGUAAACAUACCCUUUGAACACCAAAUAAAAGAAAAAAAAAAAUAGUAAUAAUAAUAAAUACUCAUAGAUAUGGUAGAUUAAUUGAUGUUAUUUCUACAGGUUCUGACAGAUAAUUCCAGCAACAUCUGAACAUGGUGUUUGGUUCUUUACGCAAAUGUGAUUAUUUAAAGACAAUAUCUGGGUCACACUAAGUUCUCAUUCAUAAGCAGCAAUUUCAAGGGUCAAAGGUGAGUUAGAAAUCCCACAAGGGCACUUCUCAUCUUUGACAUGGCCAAAUGUCUCUCAUAUUCCUAAAGAACCCCAAACAUACCAUAGACAGAACAAGAGAGAUAUCAUUUCCCUUCAACAUUGAGUCAAAGCACAUCACUGGAACAGAACAACACAUCUACACAGAGCAAACUUGUGCUAAACUUCUACUAUUGAUUCAUUGUCACAUUUGAUAAUAUUUGCUGCUGUAAAACCUAAAGAGUUACAAAUGUCAAAUAUGCAUAUCUGUUAGACAUGUGGUGUAUUACUGAAUUUAAUGCACAGCUGUCUUUUCAUGUCUCAUACUGCUAACAUGAGAACAUCAAAAUAAAAAUGAAUAAAAACAAAACAUCAAA